CUAUGUGACUUGUCCAGAUUGUACAGCUAGCAAGCGUCUGAGGUCGGAUUUGAACUCACAAAGAUAAUCCUUCCUGACUCCAGUCCUGGAAUUCUAUCCACUGUGCAAUCCAGCUGCUCCCCAAACAAGCUUGGAGCUUUGGCUGGUGACCUGCCUCUUGGAGGUGACUCUGGACUUGGACCUUAGCUUCGACUUGGGACCUUGGCUCUUAGAUUGUUUCUUGGGGAGCUUUGUGAAGGGGACUUUGCUCAGAGACAAAGAAGGACACUGUGGGAAGCACACUGGCAUCUUAGUAACGGGAUGCUUGCAUCAUGGUUCCAGCUGAUACCUCUUAGUUGUGCUAUCCUGGGCAAGUCACUUGCCCUGGAUGAGCCUCAGUUUCUUCACCUGUAAAAGAGAGAUAAUGGAAUAAUGAUGACAUGAACUAUCUGCCUACUAAGUUUGUUGUCUAGAGAGAUAUGUAAGUAAAUCAAUUUGACAAACAUCUUUCUCAGUACCUAAUAUGUACAGUGAGCAAGGCUGUGAUUUCAAGACCAAAAAAAUAAGCCACUGUCCUCAAGGAACAUAUUCAAUUUAAUGGUGUGUGUGUGUGUGUGUGUGUGUGUGUGUGUGUGUUUUGGGGAAAGUAGCUUUGGGAAAGUUAUUUAACCCAUUGGGACUAGAUUUUUCUCCUUUGUCUAUAAAUUGAGGGACUUAGUUUAGGUGGCCUCUAAAAUCCUGUCUAGCUCUAAGUCUCUGAGUUUAUGAUCAUUUUGAUGGAGGUGAGGGGGAAGGAUGUCAGGAGGUUUCAGGAGAGGAAGUAGCAUCUGAAUUGCAUCUUAAAGGAAGGAAGGGACUUCAGUAGAAGAGUCCUAUGUGAAUAAAUGGAAAUCAUUCU
rnacentral:lncRNA from 1 species